AACAGAAAUCUAUGAAAUUUUAACAUAAGGUCUAUGACCACAAAAGGAAGGUUGGGAUUGAUUUUGGGAGUUUUGGUCCCAACAGUUUAGGAAUUAGGGGCCAAAAACAGGUCCCAAAUAAGCAUUUUUCUUGGUUUUUGCACAGUAACUUUAGUAUAAGUGAAUAGAAAUCUAUGAAAUUUUAACACAAAGUUUAUGACC
rnacentral:lncRNA from 1 species